ensembl:lncRNA
CUACAGGGCUGCAGCUACAGGGCUGCAGUUACAGGGCUGCAGCUACAGGGCUGCAGCUACAGGGCUGCAGCUACAGGGCUGCAGCUACAGGGCUGCAGUUACAGGGCUGCAGCUACAGGGCUGCAGCUACAGGGCUACAGCUACAGGGCUGCACCUACAGGGCUGCAGCUACAGGGCUGCAGCUACAGUGCUGCAGUUACAGGGCUGCAACUACAGGGCUGUACACUUCCUUUAAGUUUAGAGCACUUUUUAUAGACAGCGCCACCUACCGCAAUAGAUGAUCAGUAAAGUGCACAAUUUACGUUUUAAAUUGAUGAUUUCACUCAAAAUAUACUUACAAUACAAAAGGCUUAUUCAAGAAGAAUUCUCCGUUGAUGCUGAACGAAGUAGCAGCAUUUAUCGCCAUGAUAGACAACGGUAACCAUGUGAGUACUAACUGUGAAUUGUUUUAUUAGUUUAACUUUAUAGAACAAAUAAACGUUUGGUUUACAGCGUUUUAUUGUUUAACGUUAUAAACAUUUCUGCUGUUUUCAUUUGCGGAGCAAAGCUGUUAACCUGCUAAACUGAGAAACAAGCUAUAUUUGAGCUCGUCAUUAAGUAGCACAGACGACCACUUUUAUAUAGUGACCGCUGCUGUAAAACCAACGCUUAGCUUGUUUGAUCAUUUGUUUAAUUGAGUCCUAGCCAGAUUUUGGCAGCCCAGGUCCAGGUCAUGAUAAUUAACUACAAGCAGCAUAUUAAUUAACCCUUCACCUGAUGGUAAAAGCAUGUUGAAAUUAUCUCUGUCUGUCAAGGACAUUAAGCAACAACAACCUUCAGUGUAAGUGUUUAAUACUAACAAUUUUACAGGUUUUAUGAUGUUAAUAAAGUUGCAGGUAUCUGAACAUUUUCUUCAUAGUCAGACUUUUCAUGAUCACAUUUUCUUGUGAUGCUGAGACAUUUAGUAUUUUUAACGCUCAGUUUUGAUGUAGGCUUAUCCUUCACUCCUUUACCUCAUCUACUGUCUACUGUACAGCCUGUAUGAACUUACAUCAUUACACAGAUUGAAUCCAAGACAGAAAACUUUAAAUCUAUUGGUCCACCUCCCAGAUUAAACUUGAUUUAUGUUUAUUUAUGUUUAUGUUAGUUUUUAAAAAAUGUUUACACAAAGAAGAAACUGCUCUCUCCAAAUGCUUUUGUUGUUGCCACAUAUUCAUUUUGAAGAGAAAGGACACAUUUUGAACUCAAAUUUUCCUUUCUAUUGUCACACUGCUUUCAGAUGGACAUGCCUUUGAUACGGAAGUGGUGGUGUCUUCUUCUCAUGGAGCGUUUCCAAACAGAGGGAUGCGACAACCUGAAACAAAACAUGUAUAUAAAUUUUAGUGGCAAGUUAGGAGUUCACUUCCACUUUAUCAAGCUGAUAACACACUAUCAGUGCCAUGUCAGUAGAACAUCUGGUAACUGCAUUAAGUUCAUCAGACUGUGGAUGGCAGUCUUUGUCGAGAGUAUUUGUGCAUGGCAGUUUUUUCACCAGUGUAUUUGCUUUUUCCCAUUAUUUAUCUUAGAUGAAUAUUUAUGUUCGAAAUAUAUAGCCAGAGGUUCGCUUUCUGGACUGAUGAAGCCAGAAUCCUGCUCCAGGGAACCCUGAAGCCUGUUUACACAGUGCCAAGACGAGGUGCCGUCACUGAUGAAGUUCCGCUCCAUAUGCAGGCUGUCACUGAACGCACUGCAAAGGAAACCAGACUGGUGGACUUCAUUAUCCAGUCAAAGGGAGCUGAGCAGCAUUUGGUGGAUGUACUUAGUGGCAAACGCUCUACUUGGAUUCAUCAGAAGUCUUGUUGCCAGAUGCCUGUCUACCUGGAUAGUGAAGAACAACAGGACAAGCUUUUUGCAUUCUUAAAGACUACUGCACAGAGGACCACAACACCACUGAGCUUCACAGAUGAAGUGCUGUUCAUCUUUGAUGUUCUCUCUCCAGAGGCCAUCAUAUAUGGCCUGUCUAUGCAGGACAAUCUGUCCCUGCAGGACAGUCUGUCCCUGCAGGAGGCUGAGCAGGUCUUCUUCCAGCUUACCAUCAAAGUGAAGUGGAGGAGUUUUGUCAAAGGAUUAAAAAAGACCUGAAGAAAGAAGGCAGACUGUUCAGUUGGAGGACGUGAGAUCAGAGGUUUUGCAGCGGGAGUCAUAGACAUCACUUUUGUGUGUGUGUGCGUGCGUGCGUGCGUGCGUGUGUGUUCAGCUUUUAUUUUUAUUUCAUAUUAUUGUGUAAAAUAAAUAUAUAUAUAUGUAUUCAGCAUUGUCCUUGUGUUUUGUCUCUUUCCAACCUUUCAGACUGUCCUGUUUGAGAUCUAGACUCCACAAAGGCCAUUACAGAUGAUUCCAUUAAUAUUUUAUCUGAUAAUUACAGUUUGUCUAAAUGCUAGCCUUAGCAACCAAGUUAUGAGUCAUAACUUAUGACAUUGUAAUAAGUGCUAUUUGAGUGAAUUAAACAUUUAAAAUCUUAGGUAGGACAUGAAGUAGUACUUUGUGUUGAAUACUUUGUGCUCCUGAAAGUGCAGCCUUCAGCUGUGUAGAAAAACUUACAGGGAUUAAAAUGAACGGGGAAUUCUUCCUGAAUAAGCCUUUUGUAUUGUAAGUAUAUUUUGAGUAAAAUCGUCAAUUUAAAAUGUAAAUUGUGCACUUUAGUGAUCAUCUAUUGCGGUAGGUGGCGCUGUCUAUAAAAAGUACUCUAAACUUAAAGGAAGUGUACAGCCCUGUAGGUGCAGCCCUGUGGGUGCAGCCCUGUAGCUGCAGCCCUGUAGCUGCAGGCCUGUGGAUGCAGCCCUCUGGCUGCAGCCUCCGGCUCUGCAGACACACACUAUUGGGGGCAUCCCCCGCCGUCCUAUUUCCUCUGGAGUAUGGUGUCCCAGGUGUGGGAGAGCAUGAAGCCUCCUUCUUUGUUAACUUUCUGCUUCAACUUUAAACUAAAUUUCCUUCACUAACCCAGCCCUCUGGACUUCCAGUAAGCUGUGUUCCUAUUGGCUGUCCAGGUGGCUGCUUGGUGUUAUCAGGAACACCUGAGCAGCUCAGUGUCUUCCUGCUUUAUUUAGCUGCAGACAAACAUUUCGUCUGCUUCUCUCCACCACUGAACCGGGUUUGGCUCCAUUGCUUUAGUUUGUUCUUUAGACGUUGGCUUGCAGCUUCCAGCAGUUAAAUCAUCUUUAAUGUGUUUCUUGGUGUGUUUUAGGGCUUUGUACUGGAUAGUUGUCUUGGUAAAUGUGGUUCUUUAGCCACAGUUAGCACAUGGUGCUAAUGUGUGCAGUGAUUAGUGGAUUUGAUGCAGCUGAGUUGUGUCUUUAUCUUGGCUGUAGUGAGUCUUUAGAGGUUUUUG